UUUACCGUGACAAAGGUAGCAUAAUCAUUUGUCUUUUAAUUAAAGGCUUGUAUGAAUGGUUGGAUGAGAUAUAAUCUAUUUUUAUUUAAUUAAAAAUGAAUUUUAAUUUUUAGUAAAAAUGCUAAAAUAAAAAAUAUAGACGAGAAGACCCUAUAAAUCUUUAUUAUUUUUUUAUUAAUUUAUUAAUAGAAAAAAAAAUUUAUUAUUAGAAAAAUAAUUUUAUUGGGGUGAUAAUGAAAUUUAAUAAACUUUUAUUUUAUUUUAUAAAUAUAAUUAAUUUAAUGAUCCAUUUUUAAUGAUUAUAAAAUUAAGUUACUUUAGGGAUAACAGCGUAAUUAUUUUAAAGAGUUCAUAUCGAUAAAAUAGUUUGCGACCUCGAUGUUGAAUUAAGAGUAAGCUGUACGCGUGCAUU
rnacentral:rRNA from 1 species